rnacentral:lncRNA from 1 species
AAAAAAUAAUAGAAUAAUAGUCUAUUUGUUUGUUGUGAAAAUAAUAAUAAUAAUAAAAAAAAUAUAAAAAAUAUAGAAAAUGGAAAAGGGUCCUCUCAAAAAUAGUUUAUUCGCCCGAACUACGCGGGUUUGAUUCUCACCGGAUGUGAGAUACGUAGGCAACCCUCAUCGGGUCCAACCCCACCUUUUGCUAAAAUAGCCAAAAAUCACAAUUUUAAUCUUGUCAUAAUUAAGUCGGGUGAUGUCCAACCCACCUUUUUGCUAAAUAGCCAAAAACAAAUAAAAAGAAAAACAUGUCAAGAUUUUUUCAUAAUUAAGUCGGGUGAUGUCCAACCCACCUUUUGCUAAAAUAGCCAAAAAACAAAUAAAUAAAAAAUAUAUGUCAAAUUUUAGUUUUUGUCAUAAAGAAGUCAGGUGACGCUGUUUUAUCAAGACAUAGCCGAAUGUUCCCGAAAGGGACGCCGGAAGGCUGACUUUGCAUAAACAGCCACCUUUGGGUCAUGAUUAGGAUUGUUGGUCCAGUUGACCCACACAGCCUUAAAGGGCUCCGUCCCCGAGACGUCGAAAGGCCGUGUUUGCAAUACAAGAUUUUUAUCAUAAUUUGAAAAAAAAAACAAAGAGUCAACGAUCGGGUGAAUGCCGUUUGGAUGUUUAGUCAAAAAAAAAAAUAUGAAAAAAUAAAAUAAGCCGAGCCAAUUUCGGCCGCGUCUUAAACCGUUCUUGCCGAAAUAGCCUUAGAGUAUCUUUCAGUUGUCGAAAGGUUAUUUUCGUAAAAGAAUGGACAAGUUUUAAAGUGUCAAAAUAAUCCUCCUCGGCCUCAAAAUUCAUGUGAGAGUUGGAAAGGGCCACAUUUGCAAAAAAUAACCAUUUGGUUAAAAUUAGCAAACAAAGGAAGGAAGUUGGCCAUUUGUUUUGAAGUCUAUAAAUCUUUUGUCUAGAAUAGGCGGGUUGUUUGAUUUUCAAGUUUGUAGGUCAUCUUUAAACCUUUGAAACCCAGUUUGUUU